rnacentral:rRNA from 1 species
CCCUUAGACGUUCUGGGCCGCACGCGCGCUACACUGACGAAGGCAACGAGCUUUCCUUUACCGAAAGGUACGGGUAAUCUUUUGAAACUUCGUCGUGCUGGGGAUAGAUCCUUGCAAUUUUUGAUCUUAAACGAGGAAUGCCUAGUAAGCGCAAGUCAUCAACUUGCGUUGAUUACGUCCCUGCCCUUUGUACACACCGCCCGUCGCUACUACUGAUUGAAUGGUUUAGUGAGGCCUUCGGAUCCGCGACUCGUUUGUGGAGAAGUUGGACAAACUCAGUCAUUUAGAGGAAGUAAAAGUCGUAACA